rnacentral:rRNA from 1 species
GCUUAACACAUGCAAGUCGAGGGGCAGCAUGGUCUUAGCUUGCUAAGGCCGAUGGCGACCGGCGCACGGGUGAGUAACACGUAUCCAACCUGCCGUCUACUCUUGGACAGCCUUCUGAAAGGAAGAUUAAUACAAGAUGGCAUCAUGAGUCCGCAUGUUCACAUGAUUAAAGGUAUUCCGGUAGACGAUGGGGAUGCGUUCCAUUAGAUAGUAGGCGGGGUAACGGCCCACCUAGUCUUCGAUGGGUAGGGGUUCUGAGAGGAAGGUCCCCCACAUUGGAACUGAGACACGGUCCAAACUCCUACGGGAGGCAGCAGUGAGGAAUAUUGGUCAAUGGGCGCAGGCCUGAACCAGCCAAGUAGCGUGAAGGAUGACUGCCCUAUGGGUUGUAAACUUCUUUUAUAAAGGAAUAAAGUCGGGUAUGUAUACCCGUUUGCAUGUACUUUAUGAAUAAGGAUCGGCUAACUCCGUGCCAGCAGCCGCGGUAAUACGGAGGAUCCGAGCGUUAUCCGGAUUUAUUGGGUUUAAAGGGAGCGUAGAUGGAUGUUUAAGUCAGUUGUGAAAGUUUGCGGCUCAACCGUAAAAUUGCAGUUGAUACUGGAUAUCUUGAGUGCAGUUGAGGCAGGCGGAAUUCGUGGUGUAGCGGUGAAAUGCUUAGAUAUCACGAAGAACUCCGAUUGCGAAGGCAGCCUGCUAAGCUGCAACUGACAUUGAGGCUC